UCUGGAAAAACCAAAAAUGCCCUUCUUGCCCAAUAUUAAGCCACGUGUAUAGGCUUAACAACCAGCAUUGCAUUUUCUUUAAUUUGGAACCAUCUUGCUUUUCCACAUCUCCACACUCUUUCAAAUUUCAAAUAAAAAUUUUCAUUUUACAAACUCAUUUCUCUCUCAUCUUUCUAUCCAAACUUCUAUCCUAUCUAUGUAACCUUCUUUUCUUUCUAAUCCUUUCUCCUACAACAUGAUUUCCAUUUCAAAUUUGUUGGUGAUGAAUCAUGUUUCGAUUUUUUUAAAUUACAUGAGACAUGCAGGACUUUCUUGGAAAAGUUUUGAAUAUUGUCAAUGAUGAAUUUGAGUUUUUGGUGUUGCUUUUCUGUGUUUAGAUGGUUUUCAGGAUCUACUGAUUCAACUGCAAGAAGAAAUACGAAGCAACACAAGUCUAUUAACUUCUUCAUCUCUGUGAUUCUUCAUAUUCUCUCAUGUUGUUGGUUUUUGUUUUUUUUUUUUUUUGAAUUUUAGAUUUUGAUUUCAAUGUUGCUGGGUUUUUUUUUGCUAUUGAAGGUUUGAUGAUGUUAACACUGUUUCAUAUUCUCUCAUCUUUAAUUUAUUCUUAAC